rnacentral:lncRNA from 1 species
AUGGAGCCGGGAGACCGGGGGAGGGGGAAGAUCCCUCCAGCCCCUCCACCAGAGCCCGCGGGCAGUGCGCCUGGGAGGUCAGAGCUGGCAGGUGGGCGGAUAAGCGGGGGGACAGGCAGGGCCCUGCGUACCAUGGUGCCGUGGCGCUGGGGGCUCACAGGGCCCCGCGGGAUCGCGCUGCCCCCGGCGGCCAGGCCGGGGCCGCUCCAUGAAGCGCCGCGCUGGGGGCCGCCCCCGCGCAGGGCCCCGCGACCAUGGCCCCCGGGGGCGCGGCCGGGCAGGCGGAGGCGCAGGGCCGCGGCGAGUCCAGCGCCGAGCAGCUGCGGCCCCAGAGCCUCGGGCGCGGCGGGCGGGGGGCGCGGGGCGCCGAUUGGAGCCCGCGCGUCAGCUGGGGCCGCCGUCUGGACGCUUAAAGGGCCAGGCCGCCUGCGUGCCGGCGGGGGGCGCGGACACGCGUGGUGUGCGCCGUCCCCUUGCAGCCCGCCCUGCUGCAGGCUGCCCUCCACCCCUCAGCCCCUGCUCCAGCCCCCAGCCCGUCCCCACUGCUCAUAUCCGAGCAGAUGGACCCCGGCCCCACCCUCCCGUGCUGAGCCUCCUUUCUGCCGGGAAGUUCGUCCGGGAGUCAAACAUCGGUGCCCUCCGGUUGCGCCACGGAGGGGAAGCUGCCGUGAAAUCAGGAAGCUGAGAGCGCCGGGCCCCGGAUCCGAUCAGAAAAGGCUUCCACCCGCUUCCCUGAGCGAUCCCACGCUGAUCCUACUGAACCCCGCACCCCAGCCGCGCUCACCACCCCCACCCUCUUGCCUGGGCUGUUCUGACCUGGGGGUAUCUACCCUCAGUGCUGGAGUGUCCCCAGGCUUGGUUGGGGAAACCAGAUUCAACCCCACUGAAGUUGGAAAGAACAGCCCAGGUUGUGGGUACCCAACUCCUCCCGAAACCUCUGGACUCCUGAGGGGCCUUUACUGCAUCAAAGAACUUCUCCCUGCUGUCUUCCCAGCUCAUUCUACCACAAGGCCCUCAUGGGCCUGCGGGCUCUCGCCUCACUGUGGGCAACAGCAGAGUUGA